rnacentral:rRNA from 1 species
GACGAACCGUGCGAACGUUGUUCGGAAUCACUGGGCUUAAAGGGCGCGUAGGCGGGAUGGCAAGUCGGUCGUGAAAUCCUUCGGCUCAACCGAAGAACGUCGAUCGAUACUGCUGUUCUUGAGGGUUGCAGAGGAGACUGGAAUUCCCGGUGUAGCGGUGAAAUGUGUAGAGAUCGGGAGGAACACCGGUGGCGAAGGCGGGUCUCUGGGCAAUUCCUGACGCUGAGGCGCGAAAGCCAGGGGAGCAAACGGG